AUACACAGUCUAGAAAAUAUUACAGAUAGAAUUUUAUUUUGUUUUUUUUUUGCUGAUCAGAAGAAGAAUAGAUCUUCAAAUAACUCACACUUGACUUUUUUGUAGGAGUACACCCUGCGCCCCUACACACUCGCUCAUCGAUUAAGAACACGAGCUUUUUCUCCCAUAAGCACUGUGUUAAAACCGCGUUUUUCACCAAUAAAAUUAAAAUAUUUUAAACUACGCGAAAUUAUUUUUUCUUGCCCAAAAAAAUGCAGCGUUUUUUAUUUAACAGCAUUAUUUAUUUAUUUUAUUAAAAAUAUUUUUAUUUUGAACCCUUUCCCAUCACUUGUAGUUUACUCCCUAUACACUUCGAGAGAAAAAAUCUUAACUUCUCCUUCAGUCACUACUGGCGCUAGUGGGCUGUAAGGUGACGAAAAAAGUUGGUUGAAAAACAAAAUAUGUAGUCUAUGUUGUUCCUGUGAAAGUCGUGUUAAUUCGACGUGGCAACUCUGUUCUCAGAUCUUGUCUUUCCGAGGCUUUGAAUCUGCUGUUUAACCCCCUUCUCCUUCCUGUUCCCAGUUCUCACCUCUCUCCUCCGUCUGCUAUACCGUUCAGUCUGAGAUAUUAUAGGCUGUCACACUGCGAUCGCAGUUAGUCACUGUAAAUUGGCUGUGUCUUUAAACGUUACCAAUUCUGGAAGGUGGUUUAUUAUCCAACCUCCUGGCAGCUCUAGCUCAGAUUGAGCACAUUCUUUUGUCCUGGGUCGCCUGACUCGUUAUAUAUAUCUUGUUGUGCAUUGGAUGUCGUGUGCGUGCCCUCUACGCGUCACCUGCAUUUUACAACGGAUAUUUUCGUAACUCUUCAGUGUCGCCCAACCUAUUCUCAUUACGACGAGUCGACGAGGAUCUUCACGUGGUGUUUUUCUUUUACGUUACGACGAGUCGACGAGAAUCUUCACGUGGUGUUUUUCUUUUACGUUGUUAGUUAAUUCGGCUCUGUGUGUUUACAAGGUGUAAGCUGGUAUAAGUUUUCGAUAGUUUUAUUUUCUUCAUUCUGCAGACCAGUCUGAAUCCAAUGGCUUCUGUCGAUAGUGGUGUAGCUUCAUCAAACUCAGAAGAACACUCCGAAGAAAUAAAUUUUGAGGAAGAUGCUGCUGCAGGUACUUCCAGUGCUAAUGCCAAUCGUUGUAAAAAAGCAAGUGCUGGCAAACAAUCUGCCACGGAAUCCGGAAAUAAACUGUUUUUGAAAAUUGAUCGAGAUCGAGAUCGAUUCGAUCAAUUCGAUCAAAAAAGAAUCGCGAUCGAUUUCGAUCAUUUCGAUAAAAAAUUUGGUGGGAUCGAGAUCGAGAUCAUCGAUCGCCAUUUGGUGAUCGAUGCCCAACACUGCUCUCCAAUAUGAAGGGUGGACGUUGGUUGUUAGGUCGUUUCUUUUAGUAUAGCAAUAAGUCUAUAAUUAAUUUUACAGUAAAAACAAAGAACCGUUAAAAGAAAAGUAUGGCAAGUUUAGUAAAAAAAGAUUUUUACCUCUUGCAGAGAAUAUACACUCUCGAUUUCUGAUUUCUACUUUUUCACUGCUUUCGGCUAGCGAAAUGAAACAUGCUACCAAAAGUUAUAGCAAGUACCAUACGAGCUUUGGAAAAGUCGUCGAAUUUCAUACCGUAGAGGAAAGGACAUACAACCAAUGAAAUUCAGCUACCAUUUUCCUUUUAUUUUUCUACCUUUUCCCCUAUUUUUGUUCUACUAUUUUCCUACUUUUAAAAUAUUUUAAUAUACGCGCGAAAAAAGGUUGGUUUAAAUGAAUCAAUCUGCUGUCCUACUUCUGGAUUUUGGUAAAUACGCUUCGAAUGAAGUUAGUUAGAAACUGUUCAACACACAAUUAACACUUCUAGAUAAACUCGGGAAACACGUAACGUAGGUGUCACCUACAGUGCUGCCCUCAUGGGCAGGAUUUUGGGAAGGGCCUUCCUGCGUUUACGUCUGGAAGUGUUUUUCUUCUGUUUAAUCAGUGUUAGUAUUGUUUCGUAAAGUAAGAAAAUUGUGUCUUACCGUCCGUAGGCUAGUAGGGGAGGGUGGGGCUAGUUGGUACAAUUUUUUUUAUUUUCCUCUCCAGUUUCUUAAGUUUUCAUUAUUUUGACAUCCGACAAGAUGUGAAAGAAAGUUCAGAUAACCAGCUUUCUCGUGUUAUUUUUUAAUUUGAUCUAUCUUAAAGAAUUCAUACCGAAAUAAACGUCCAAAAAAUUAAAAUUUUUUUGUCUACAUGCCCCUCUAAUGGGUUAAGUUGGCAGUGGUAACAGGGUAAG